rnacentral:rRNA from 1 species
UACGGAGGGUGCAAGCGUUAUCCGGAUUCACUGGGUUUAAAGGGUGCGUAGGUGGGCAGGUAAGUCAGUGGUGAAAUCUCCGGGCUCAACUCGGAAACUGCCAUUGAUACUAUCUGUCUUGAAUACCGUGGAGGUUAGCGGAAUAUGUCAUGUAGCGGUGAAAUGCUUAGAUAUGACAUAGAACACCAAUUGCGAAGGCAGCUGGCUACACGAAUAUUGACUCUGAGGCACGAAAGCGUGGGGAUCAAACAGGA